GCCUCUGUAGCUCAGUUGCAUGGUUAGAGCUACACCGGAAUUGCAGGGCCGCAUGCAGGUUCGAUUACUGCCAGAGGGU